AGUACUUGUCUCUUUCCUGUUAUUUCUCUUCCAGUCUAGUCAUCUCUCAUUUAGCCUAUUUCAUACCAGCACACUGUGUAUGGAGGAUGUAACUUACUGUACUUCUUGAACGGUGUGUUUGGAAGUGUCUGCAUGAGUGUGAUUAAAGCUAUGUAAGGGGAGGCUUUGGUAGGCUGUGUGUAUUCUGUGACAUGGGAAUCGAUGAGUGUUGUGUGUGACAGGCUGUGUGUGGGGUGGCUGUUUGUAGGAGAGCUGUGUGUUGUGUGGGGAGAGGUUAUGUGUUAGUGAGGUGCCUCUUUUUGUGGGUACUGUGUGUUUUGUCUCUUGGGAGUCAGUGUUAGGGGUUGCUUUAUGCAGAUUGGUUGAUUUAUGAUACCUG